rnacentral:rRNA from 1 species
GUUAGACGAACGGUCUGGAAAGUCCGACGAUACAGGGUGAUAGUCCCGUAGUUGACGACGUGUGUUCAGUGAAAUCGAGUAGGGCGGGACACGUGAUAUCCUGUCUGAAUAUGGGGGGACCAUCCUCCAAGGCUAAAUACUACUGACUGACCGAUAGUGAACCAGUACCGUGAGGGAAAGGCGAAAAGAACCCCUGUGAGGGGAGUGAAAUAGAACCUGAAACCGUGUACGUACAAGCAGUAGGAGCAGGCUUUGUCCUGUGACUGCGUACCUUUUGUAUAAUGGGUCAGCGACUUAUAUUCAGUGGCAAGGUUAACCAUCUAGGGGAGCCGUAGGGAAACCGAGUCUUAACUGGGCGUUCAGUCUCUGGAUAUAGACCCGAAACCAGGUGAUCUAGCCAUGGGCAGGUUGAAGGUUGAGUAACAUCAACUGGAGGACCGAACCGACUAAUGUUGAAAAAUUAGCGGAUGACUUGUGGCUAGGGGUGAAAGGCCAAUCAAACCUGGAGAUAGCUGGUUCUCCCCGAAAGCUAUUUAGGUAGCGCCUCGGACGAAUACUACUGGGGGUAGAGCACUGUUAAGGCUAGGGGGUCAUCCCGACUUACCAACCCUUUGCAAACUCCGAAUACCAGUAAGUACUAUCCGGGAGACACACGGCGGGUGCUAACGUCCGUCGUGGAGAGGGAAACAACCCAGACCGCCAGCUAAGGUCCCAAAUUACUACUAAGUGGGAAACGAUGUGGGAAGGCUCAGACAGCCAGGAUGUUGGCUUAGAAGCAGCCAUCAUUUAAAGAAAGCGUAAUAGCUCACUGGUCGAGUCGGCCUGCGCGGAAGAUGUAACGGGGCUAAGUAGUAAACCGAAGCUGCGGCAAUACUCUUUGAGUAUUGGGUAGGGGAGCGUUCUGUAAGCGGUUGAAGGUGUGUGGUAACGCAUGCUGGACGUAUCAGAAGUGCGAAUGCUGACAUGAGUAACGAUAAAGGGGGUGAAAAACCUCCUCGCCGGAAGACCAAGGGUUCCUGUCCAACGUUAAUCGGGGCAGGGUAAGUCGACCCCUAAGGCGAGGCCGAAAGGCGUAGUCGAUGGGAAACGGGUUAAUAUUCCCGUACUUCUUACAAUUGCGAUGGGGGGACGGAGAAGGCUAGGUGGGCCUGGCGACGGUUGUCCAGGUUCAAGUGCGUAGGCUUGAGAGUUAGGUAAAUCCGGCUCUCUUUAAGGCUGAGACACGACGUCGAGCACCUACGGGUGUGAAGUCAUUGAUGCCAUGCUUCCAGGAAAAGCCUCUAAGCUUCAGAUUGUAAGGAAUCGUACCCCAAACCGACACAGGUGGUCGGGUAGAGAAUACCAAGGCGCUUGAGAGAACUCGGGUGAAGGAACUAGGCAAAAUGGUACCGUAACUUCGGGAGAAGGUAC